GACGAGGGAUCCUAGCGUUGUUCGGAAUCAUUGGGCGUAAAGCGGAUGUAGGUGGCUUUGUAAGUCAGGUGUGAAAGCCCAGAGCUCAACUCUGGAAGUGCAUUUGAUACUGCGAAGCUUGAGUGUGGAAGAGGUAAGUAGAAUACCUGGUGUAGUGGUGAAAUACGUAGAUAUCAGGUGGAAUACCGGAGGCGAAGGCGGCUUACUGGUCCAACACUGACACUGAGAUCCGAAAGCGUGGGGAGCAAACAGG
rnacentral:rRNA from 1 species